AUGGCGGUGCGGGCGGGGUGGGUGGUGGCGGUGGCGCGGGGGUCGGCGGCGGCGUGGCAGCGCGUGGCGUGCAACCCGGAGACGCUCCCGCCCGACCGCGUCCUCGCGCUCAUCUUCUGCGGGCCGCUCCACCUCCUCGCGCGCCUCGCCGCCUGCCUCUGCGUCCCCCUCCUCGCCGCCAGCGCCCCCUUCCGCUUCGCCUCCCCUCGCCGCCGCCGCCGCCUGCUCCAGCUCCCGGCCCCCGAGCUUCUGCUCGCCCCGUACUCCCCCACCCGUUCCUCCUCCUCCUCCUCCUCCUCUUCAUCUUCCGACGAGGAUGACGGCGACGGCGACUACGGCGGCAUUGAGGACGGGGACGACAUCAGCCCUCACGUCGAUUGA
rnacentral:rRNA from 1 species